GCCCACAUAGCUCAGUAGGUAGAGCAUGAGACUCUUAAUCUCAAGAUCAUAGGUUCAAGCCCCAGGUUGGGCA